GCUUCACUGGGAAUUGCAUUCCCCCUGUCAGCACAGCCCGGCCUGGCUGGGGACCAGGGCAGGCUGGAGUCUGAGGGUCAGGAAUCUGAAUUGUACAGAUCUCACCAACUUCCAGGCUGCUGUUCUAUAAAUUCACCAUCUGAGUGAGAAUGGAGCCACCUUGGAGGGGCUGCAGAGAGGUGGCAGAGCGGGGGAGAGGUGGGAAGGCUGAGGAGCUGCAAGGGAAGGCUCAGGCUGCAGGAGAGCAGCCAACACAGCCAGAGCUGGAGGUGCCUGGGCCAGGGGCCAGCUCGGGGCUCCCGAGGUGCCUUGGCCCCGCUGUCCUGCUCUGCUCCAGCUGUGUUACAGCUGCAGUGUCCCCAGCACUGCUCUGUCCCCCGGCCCUGCUGCUGCUCCAGCUGCAGCCCGACCUUCUGGCAGGAGCUGCACCAAUUGCAAAUUCCUUGGUUUGCUCAUCAGCCAAGCCCUCCCCUCCCUGGGAUGAAUAAAUCCUGGCUUUUCUGCAGCUUUAUCAGCCAGGAACAACUGAGAACAGCUACAUGGAUCCACCUGACCAUAACCCUUAAAAAUACAGCAAUAAAUAAAUCAAUAUGCACUGUUGGA